rnacentral:rRNA from 1 species
AGAACGAACGCUGGCGGCAUGCCUAAUACAUGCAAGUCGAACGAACUCUUCGGAGUUAGUGGCGCACGGGUGCGUAACGCGUGGGAAUCUGCCCUUGGGUUCGGAAUAACAGUUGGAGACGACUGCUAAUACCGGAUGAUGACGUAAGUCCAAAGAUUUAUCGCCCAAGGAUGAGCCCGCGUAGGAUUAGCUAGUUGGUGGGGUAAAGGCCUACCAAGGCGACGAUCCUUAGCUGGUCUGAGAGGAUGAUCAGCCACACUGGGACUGAGACACGGUCCAGACUCCUACGGGAGGCAGCAGUGGGGAAUAUUGGACAAUGGGCGAAAGCCUGAUCCAGCCAUGCCGCGUGUGUGAAGAAGGUCUUCGGAUUGUAAAGCACUUUAAGUGGGAGGAAGGCAUUAACCUAAUACGUUAGUGUUUUGACGUUACCGAUAGAAUAAGCACCGGCUAACUCUGUGCCAGCAGCCGAC